AAUGAACGUUGGCGGCGUGGAUUAGGCAUGCAAGUCGAGCGAGAACCCCGCAAGGGGGGACAGCGGCGAAAGGGACAGUAAUGUGUAGAUUAUCUGCCCUCAGGUCCGGGAUAGCUGCGGGAAACUGCAGGUAAUACCGGAUAACAUCUCCGGAUCAAAGGUGUGAUUCCGCCUGAGGAUGAGUCUGCAUCCUAUUAGCUAGUUGGUGGGGUAAUGGCCUACCAAGGCAUUGAUGGGUAGCAGGUGUGAGAGCACGACCUGCGUCAUUGGGACUGAGACACUGCCCAGACACCUACGGGUGGCUGCAGUCGAGAAUCUUCGGCAAUGGGCGCAAGCCUGACCGAGCGACGCCGCGUGUGGGAUGAAGGCCUUCGGGUUGUAAACCACUGUCAGAGGGGAUGAAAUGCAGGUGGGUUCUCCCAUCUGUUUGACAUAGCCUCAGAGGAAGGGCGGGCUAAGUUCGUG
rnacentral:rRNA from 1 species